GAGUUUGAUCGUGGCUCAGAACGAACGCUGGCGGCGUGCUUAACACAUGCAAGUCAGGGAGAAAGUUCCUUCGGGAGUGAGUAAACCGGCGCACGGGUGAGUAACACGUGAGUAACCUGCCUUUUAGACUGGAACAACUUACCGAAAGGUGAGCUAAUGCCGGAUGAAUUAUGUAACCGCAUGGUUAUAUAGAAAAAGCCGGGGCAACCUGGCGCUAAAAGAUGGACUCGCGUCCCAUUAGCUAGUUGGUGGGUAGAGGCCUACC
rnacentral:rRNA from 1 species